GAGCAUCCUGAUUGUGUCUGUGGUGAACAGAGGGCUGAUCUUGAUGACGUCUCACUUUUGUUCUCUCAUUGGCUAACAUACCAGGGUCGAAGGACACAGGGAAGCCAGUUGCCCUCUAUUCUCCCUUCUCACUGGCCACAAUGCUGGCCUUGAGGCCAGGACGGCAGUGUCUGGUGAUCCUGUGCAAAGACCGUGGUGGAUGAGGAGGGAGCCAUCUUGGGACGCAAAUGAAAACCAUGCUCUAGGGAAAGUGGAGCAACAAGGUAGCAGGAACCUGGGCUCCGAUGACUUCUCCGCAGUACUGUCACUUUCCUUCCCACCUCACGGAAGUCUGUGUCACCAAGUCAUCAUGGAUGAUUUCUCCCACCCACAGCCCCCACCCAGUGCCCUCCAAUUCUGCCAUCCUCUCACCCCCCAGGACCCGCGCCACUCACUCAUCCUCCUCCUCCGCCCCCUGCAGCCUCUGCUCCUUCUGCUGCUGCCGACAGAUGAGGAUGCCCGUAGCAGCGACAGCUGUAGCGAUGAUGGCAGCGAUGAUGCCACCAAUGAUGCCACCCGUGGCCCCUGCGCCUGCCGUGUUAGGCAUUUCUGCAAGGAGAAGGACAGUGUGAGGGGAGCUCUUGGAGGAAGCCCCAGCUCCUCAUCCCAGGCCCACCCUUGAGUCACCUCCCACCUGCCUUCCUCUUUUCCCAUGGGAAGGGGACACUGUUCCAUUCAGCUCAUCCUUGCUGAGUGCAAGAAGGAGACUGUGAAGCUGGGCAAAGUGGAGGGGAGAGAGAUGAAGGAAGAAGAUGGAGGAUCAAUUUAAAGGUAGAGAAGCCGAGAAGAUCCUGGGACCAGGAGCAGAGACCCUCAUUCAUGGUUCGGCUCUUCUGUCUUCACCGACUGGGCGAAGGGCAGUGCGGGCCAGGCGCGUCCAGGUCCCCUGUGUCUCCAGCACGGCCCGGCCAGGCGCUGCAGAACACGCGGAGUCCACUCAGGCUGAAAAAGUGCAGCAUGUCCGUCCCCUGCUGGCCCUCAGCCCCGAGAGGGCAUCCUGCGGGUGUCCUUGCUGGAUCUCACGACAGUCUUGGGAGGCAGAUCUGGACACCAGCUCCCUUUUCCGGGAGGCCACAGAGGCUCCAGAGCUGAGUGCCGUAAGUCUGCCCCUUCCUCUCUCAAACUGAGCCUGGCAGUGGAGGACCUUCUCCACCUGGGCAGUGGGAGGGACGCCACUUUGAAUCACUGAGACUCCCCUGGGGCUGGGCCCUGAGCAAGGGGGGAGGAAGGUGGCUGGAAAGGGUCACUGGGAGGGCUGGGAGGUGGGCUUUCCAAGGAUCCCCAGCACCACAGCUGCCCUGUAGCCUCAAGGACCCCCAAAACAGAGGGCAAGUAGCCCUCCCUUCUUCAGGUCCUCAGCAACCCAGAGGGGGUCCUGGCUGGGCUGCCUGCAGUUAGACCGCAGCCCUCUGCCUGCACAUUCUCUCUGAACGCAGGACAUUGGGACCCUGGCUCCUGCCAAUCCCCCUGUCCCCCAGGGGCCCAGGAGUCCAGGUACUCAGCCUAGCUUUCCCAGUGAAUUUGGGCCUUCAGCCAGUUUGGCCACCCCACUUCCAUCCGGAGACCCAGAAGUCCCAACACUCCAGCCUCUAGGCCCCAAAGCCUGUGACCCAAUUCCUAGUCCCACUAGCCUCAGGGGUCGUGGGCGUCCACGUGAUCUGAGCCCCCACAGGCUGCCCCCUAAGGGGCCCAGUACAGUUUUUCCCAACCCCUGGGACUGGGUAGUCCCCAUCCCACCCACUCUUUCCCCAGGACCCAAAGAGGGGGUCUAAUGUACUACAAGACAUCCCUGAAGUUUUCCUCCAAGGCAUUUAUUAACUCCUGA